GACAGAGGGUGCAAGCGUUGUUCGGAAUUAUUGGGCGUAAAGGGCGCGUAGGCGGCCUUGCAAGUCAACUGUGAAAUCCCAGGGCUUAACCCUGGAAGUGCAGCUGAUACUGCUCGGCUUGAGUCCCGGAGAGGGUGGUGGAAUUCCCAGUGUAGAGGUGAAAUGCGUAGAUAUUGGGAGGAACACCAGUGGCGAAGGCGGCUGACUGGACCGGUACUGACGCUGAGGCGCGAAAGCGUGGGGAGCAAACGGG
rnacentral:rRNA from 1 species